GCCCAGCUAGAACAAUCGGUAGAGCAUGGGACUCUUAAUCCCAGGAUUGUGGGUUCAAGCCCUACAUUGGGUG
rnacentral:tRNA from 1 species